GGGGAAUUGAACCAAUAGCGUGUAUUUGUGAAAGUGAAAGUAAGACAGAAGACAGUUUUUGCGGUGUGCACAGACGUCAGUGGAGGACUGUGAGAUGAUGUUCACUGAACUGAUGAAAUGCCUCAUUCAUUCAUUCAUUCAUUCAUCGAUGAUCUGAGGAGAGACGCUGAGCUGGAGAAGCUUUCACACACACAUCAUCACAUCCAUUUGCUGCAGAGUUUUCAGUCUCUCUCUGCACCUCCUGAAGCUCCGGACGACAUCAGUGUGACUUUCCUCUUUUCUUUUGAUGCUGUGAGAGAAUCUGUCCGUCAGCCGAGAGACAAACUGCAG